rnacentral:rRNA from 1 species
CGAACGCAACCUUCGGGUUGAGUGGCGGACGGGUGAGUAACGCGUGAGAAUCUGCCUUGGGGUCGGGGACAACCACUGGAAACGGUGGCUAAUACCGGAUAAGCCUUUGGGUAAAAGAUUUAUUGCCCCAAGAGGAGCUCGCGUCUGAUUAGCUAGUUGGUGAGGUAAAAGCUCACCAAGGCAGCGAUCAGUAGCUGGUCUGAGAGGACGAUCAGCCACACUGGGACUGAGACACGGCCCAGACUCCUACGGGAGGCAGCAGUGGGGAAUUUUCCGCAAUGGGCGAAAGCCUGACGGAGCAAGACCGCGUGAGGGAGGAAGGCUCUUGGGUUGUAAACCUCUUUUCUCAGGGAAGAAGCUCUGACGGUACCUGAGGAAUCAGCCUCGGCUAACUCCGUGCCAGCAGCCGCGGUAAUACGGAGGAGGCAAGCGUUAUCCGGAAUUAUUGGGCGUAAAGCGUCCGCAGGUGGCGAUUCAAGUCUGCUGUCAAAGCACGGGGCUUAACUCCGUUAAGGCAGUGGAAACUGAAUAGCUAGAGUGCCGUAGGGGUAGAGGGAAUUCCCGGUGUAGCGGUGAAAUGCGUAGAGAUCGGGAAGAACAUCGGUGGCGAAAGCGCUCUACUGGACGGCAACUGACACUCAGGGACGAAAGCUAGGGGAGCGAAUGGGAUUAGAUACCCCAGUAGUCCUAGCUGUAAACGAUGGAUACUAGGUGUAGCUUGUAUCGACCCGAGCUGUGCCGAAAGCUAACGCGUUAAGUAUCCCGCCUGGGGGAAGUACGCACGCAAGUGUGAUACUCAAAGGAAUUGACGGGGGCCCGCACAAGCGGUGGUAGUAUGUGGUUUAAUUCGAUGCAACGCGAAGAACCUUACCAGGGCUUGACAUGUCCGGAAUCCCGGUGAAAGCUGGGAGUGCCUUCGGGAGCCGGAACACAGGUGGUGCAUGGCUGUCGUCAGCUCGUGUCGUGA